GUGCAGCAGUCGAGAAACUUCACACUGUGCGAAAGCACGAUGAGGGAAUCCCAAGUGCUUGCACGUAAGUGUAAGCUGUUUCUCUGUCUAAAACGCAGAGAGAGUAAGGGCUGGGUAAGACGGGUGCCAGCCGCCGCGGUAAUACCUGCAGCUCAAGUGGUGACCGUUAUUAUUGGGCCUAAAACGUCCGUAGCCGGUUUAAUAAAUGCCUGGGUAA
rnacentral:rRNA from 1 species